AGCGUAGGUGGCCUAACAUGUCAACUGUGAAACCCGGAGCUCAACUCCGGACUUGCAGUUGAAACUGGUAGGCUUGAGGACGGUAGAGGAAGACGGAACUGCCAGUGUAGGGGUAAAUCCUUAGAUAUUGGCAGGAACGCCGGUGACGAAGGUGGUUUUCUGGGCCGGUUCUGACACUGAUGCUCGAAAGCCAGGGGAGCGAACGG
rnacentral:rRNA from 1 species